GAGAAGAUCAUCGACUGGGAAAACACUUCUCCUAGACAAGUCGAGAUCCCAUUUAAGCCGGCCAGAGUGCUGCUGCAGGAUUUUACUGGGGUGCCUGCUGUCGUUGAUCUUGCUUGCUUGCGUGAUGCGAUGAAUAGCCUCGGGGGAGAUCUGAAUAAAAUCAACCCACUGGUUCCAGUGGAUCUUGUUAUCGACCACUCUGUUCAGGUUGAUGUGGCAAGGUCAGAAAAUGCUGUCCAGGCUAAUAUGGAACUUGAGUUUCAUCGGAACAAGGAGAGAUUUG